rnacentral:lncRNA from 1 species
CCAAAAUGUAUAAUGUUGCAAACACAUGAAGGUUUGUUCUUGUUUACUUAAUAUCACUGGGUGCUUGAAUAGGUUAGUGCCAGAGCCUUCUUCCAUGUGGUUGUACAAGGACUCUGCAAUAUUAAUUGGGUGACUUCCAUGGUCAUCCUAAGAGUUAUCUCCAUUCUAAUCAACCCAGCCAGAAAGGGGAAAGAAGCAUAGGGGACCACAACAUGGCGAGGAAGUUGGGAAGGAAAUUCUCAAAGUAGUUUCAGCAUUGGGAUAAGACACUUUUCACUGAAGAUAUAGUCUGUGUUUCUAAGAGCUUACAUAGUAGUGGCCAUAAAAGAGCAAAUCAUGGUAAUCAUGUGAUUCUUAAUCCUAGCUAGGCAUCAGACUCCUCAGUGGGGAGUUUUUAAGAAGCACAGAUACAAGAGCUCAAAUUCCAGCUUUUGGUCAGCAGAUUUGGCUGGAACCUGAACAGCCACAUCUU